GCCGGAGGAGCAGCGGGCGGUGGUGCAGCUCUUCACCACGUCUGGCCUUGACCUUCUCAGCAGCAGAGCAGGAUCUCAAAGCCCUUCACCACAAGAUACCUGCACCUUUCAGUGUGGCAGCCUUGAUGUAAAUAGGUAGACACGUACACACUUCACUUGAAUCAGUGGAGCAGCUCCUGGUAGGAAAACCAAGACCGCGGCCGGGCGGGGCGCGGGCGGAGCGCAGCG